rnacentral:rRNA from 1 species
AGCGAACGCUGGCGGCGUGCCUAACACAUGCAAGUCGAACGUGAAAAGGGAAACCUGAGUAAAGUGGCGUACGGGUGAGUAACGCGUAGGUAAUCUACCCCAGAAUCUGGAAUAACCUGCCGAAAGGCGGGCUAAUACUGGAUAGAGCGAGGGAACUCGUAAGAGAGUUUUUCGGGAAAGGGAGCCCGCAAGGGCCUUCGUUCUGGGAUGAGCCUGCGUCUCAUUAGCUAGUUGGUAAGGUAACGGCUUACCAAGGCGAUGAUGAGUAGCUGGUCUGAGAGGAUGAUCAGCCACACUGGAACUGAAACACGGUCCAGACUCCUACGGGAGGUAGCAGUGGGGAAUCUUGCGCAAUGGACGAAAGUCUGACGCAGCCACGCCGCGUGAGUGAAGAAGGCCUUCGGGUUGUAAAGCUCUGUCGGAUGGGACGAACAUCUUCAUAGUGAAUAGCUAUGAGGACUGACGGUACCAUCAAAGGAAGCACCGGCUAACUCCGUG